rnacentral:rRNA from 1 species
AGGGCACCACCAGGAGUGGAGCCUGCGGCUUAAUUUGACUCAACACGGGAAAACUCACCCGGCCCGGACACUGGAAGGAUUGACAGAUUGAGAGCUCUUUCUUGAUUCAGUGGGUGGUGGUGCAUGGCCGUUCUUAGUUGGUGGAGUGAUUUGUCUGGUUAAUUCCGAUAACGAACGAGACUCUAGCCUACUAAAUAGAUCGUCGGCUUACAAACGCCGACGAGACUUCUUAGAGGGACAGGCGGUGAUUCAACCGCACGAAACAGAGCAAUAACAGGUCUGUGAUGCCCUUAGAUGUCCGGGGCCGCACGCGCGCUACACUGAAGUGAUCAGCGUGCUUUUGUCAACCUACUCUGUCAAGAGUGGGGAACCCAAUGAACCUUCUUCGUGAUUGGGAUAGGGGAUUGUAAUUAUUCCCCUUGAACGAGGAAUUCCCAGUAAGCGCGAGUCAUAAGCUCGCGUUGACUACGUCCCUGCCCUUUGUACACACCGCCCGUCGCUACUACCGAUUGAAUGUUU